rnacentral:lncRNA from 1 species
GCUCCAAAUACAUCCAGAGAUGAGAAGAAAGACGGUGACCUGAUUCCGGAAGUUCAGAUGUCCAUGUUGGUGACCUGAUUCAGGAAGUCUUUCAGGAGGAUAUCAAGCUUGGAUCUUGGAUAGAACUGGGAUGCGAGGCACUGGUGAUUGGGCAAUAUCCCUGCCUGUAGGAUUCUUUGUGGAAUGCUGGAUAUUCAUAUUCCGGUCUUUUCUUAUCUCUGGUUGCCUCAGGGAAGUAAGAACCCAUCUGGGAAAGAGAGGACAGGACUGAAGAGGGACUCAAGGGAGUUGAGCUUACUGGAUUGGGGGUGAAUGUUAAAGUUCCAGUUUGAACAGGUUUGGAGGGAGAGAUGGAUGGUGGGGAGGGCAUCAUACCUUCACCCUUGCUACAUACUUCCUCUUCUUUCCAGCAGAGCCCAAGCUGGAGACCAGGAGAAUCUAGAGGAAGGAGGUGACACAGGCCUGCUCCUAGUCUGAUGGGAAAACCUACGUUAUACCCUCAAAGAACCCCAAUCUGAUGGAGUUUUGCUCUUGUUGCCCAGAUUGGAGUGCAGUGGUACGAUCUCAGCUCACUGCAACCUCUGCCUCCUGGUUUCAAGCGAUUCUUCUGCCGCAGCCUCCUGGGUAGCUGGGAUUACAGGUAUCUGCCAUCACG